rnacentral:rRNA from 1 species
UACGUAGGGUGCGAGCGUUGUCCGGAAUUACUGGGCGUAAAGAGCUCGUAGGUGGUUUUGUCGCGUUGUUCGUGAAAACUCACAGCUCAACUGUGGGCGUGCGGGCGAUACGGGCAGACUAGAGUACUGCAGGGGAGACUGGAAUUCCUGGUGUAGCGGUGGAAAUGCGCAGAUAUCAGGAGGAACACCGGUGGCGAAGGCGGGGUCUCUGGGCAGUAACUGACGCUGAGGAGCGAAAAGCGUGGGGGAGCGAACAGG